rnacentral:lncRNA from 1 species
GGCAAAAACAUUGGGUGUGAGUGAGGCCACAAUGUGUCGAAUUGCAGAAGAGGACCUACGGUAUAAGUCCUACGUCAUAAAAGUAUGACAGAUACUGUCUGAUGCUGCUAAAAUAGAGUUGCUCACUGCAACUUGCUUCUGUGCUCAAUGAAGAAUGAAGCUGCAGGUCACAUCAGAUUUUUUUUUGAUGAGAAAAUUUUUACUGUUGAUGCCAAAGUAAACUGGAGAAAUGACCGUUGGCUUGCCUAUGACCCUGAAGAUGUCCCCGUAAUAGCUAGGACGAAGUUUCUGGCCAGUGUUCAUGUCCUAGCUGUUGUUUCCAGUGAAGGUGACAUCAUGCCGCCGCACGUCUUUGGAAAGGGGG